GAUGAACGCUGGCGGCGUGCCUAAUACAUGCAAGUCGAGCGAACAGACGAGGAGCUUGCUCCUCUGACGUUAGCGGCGGAUGGGUGAGUAACACGUGGAUAACCUACCUAUAAGACUGGGAUAACUUCGGGAAACUGGAGCUAAUACCGGAUAAUAUAUUGAACCGCAUGGUUCAAUAGUGAAAGACGGUUUUGCUGUCACUUAUAGAUGGAUCCGCGCCGCAUUAGCUAGUUGGUAAGGUAACGGCUUACCAAGGCAACGAUGCGUAGCCGACCUGAGAGGAUGAUCGGCCACACUGGAACUGAGACACGGUCCAGACUCCUACGGGAGGCAGCAGUAGGGAAUCUUCCGCAAUGGGCGAAAGCCUGACGGAGCAACGCCGCGUGAGUGAUGAAGGUCUUCGGAUCGUAAAACUCUGUUAGUGGGGAAGAACAAAUGUGUAAGUAACUAUGCGCUUCUUGACGGUACCUGAUCAGAAAGCCACGGCUAACUACGUG
rnacentral:rRNA from 1 species